GUACACUCCUACGGGAGGCAGCAGUGGGGAAUAUUGGACAAUGGGCGCAAGCCUGAUCCAGCCAUGCCGCGUGAGUGAUGAAGGCCCUAGGGUUGUAAAGCUCUUUCACCGGUGAAGAUAAUGACGGUAACCGGAGAAGAAGCCCCGGCUAACUUCGUGCCAGCAGCCGCGGUAAUACGAAGGGGGCUAGCGUUGUUCGGAUUUACUGGGCGUAAAGCGCACGUAGGCGGACUAUUAAGUCAGGGGUGAAAUCCCGGGGCUCAACCCCGGAACUGCCUUUGAUACUGGUAGUCUUGAGUUCGAGAGAGGUGAGUGGAAUUCCGAGUGUAGAGGUGAAAUUCGUAGAUAUUCGGAGGAACACCAGUGGCGAAGGCGGCUCACUGGCUCGAUACUGACGCUGAGGUGCGAAAGCGUGGGGAGCAAACAGGAUUAGAUACCCCAGUAGUCCCA
rnacentral:rRNA from 1 species